GCGGGCCAGGCCUGGGGGAGGAGGGAUGCCCAGGAAGGCAAAGCUGCCCUCGGUGGGCGAGGGUGGGAGCCCGGGCCCAGGUUUCACGGCUGCCCUGGGUGCUGAAACCCAGGGAGCACUGGCCCCCCCAGUCGCAGGUCAGCAGGCUCUGGAUGGUGGCCACGCAGCCCAGACAGGACUCCCGGGAGCACAAGCCUGACCCCCAGUGCAGUGUGGGCCUCGCAAGGCUGUGAGCCGUCCGUCUCAGGGCUGUGGGAGCACACAGGUCAGGGAGGCAGGACGGGGCCCAGCUCCAGGCACACGCACACCCCUUUCUCGCAGGGUCGACUGGAACAGAGCUGCCCCCGGGCGCUCUCUGGCCUGGCGAAGUGGGAGCUGUCUUCCCUACGCAUCUGGGCUGGCUGCCUGCUGCUGAUGGAAGAGCUGCUCCUCCUGACCUGGGGCCACAGAAGCCCCCUCCCUGCCCCUGAAACCCCUCCCAGCAUGUCGUGAGCUCUUAUCCCCAGUACGGAAUCUGCCUCCGCUAUGAACACCUGCAAAGGUUUGUGUGCUGAACGGAGGUGUGCGCGGCGGUCAUCUCUGGUCUCUCCACAGAGUGGGUUUUCUAUCGUGACUCGCGGUGGAAUCGGACCUUCACGCACACAGAAUUCAGCAAGGCUGCCAGGUGUAAGCGUCAACUUACAAAUGUCAAGAAGGGAUUAAGGGCCUUUUAAAAACUCCCUUCCGCAGAGAACAACUGAAAAAUUCCAGACACUCUUGUAGCAAACCAGUUACCCAAGGGCUCUGGGGAGGGGACAGAAGGCAGCCGGCUUGGGCGGGAACUCACAGGUAAAGGGAGAGGCCAGCUCCGAGUGGCGUUCCCUUUGUGUCCACACAGCUUUGCUCUGAAGGAGCCGCAGGUUGGCUGCGGGGCUGUGAAGUGGCCCAGGCUGCCACGGACACCCACAACUUUCCCGGCCAAAGGCCAAAGGAAACCAAGGAAGGAGCCCAGAAUACUCAGGGCCCAGAGCUCGAGGAGAGGCCUGAGCCGGAGGAGCCAAGGAGGCGCCCACGUGCCCAGCUGAGCCCUGAACUGAAGGAGCCGAGGAGGGUCCAGGAAGAGCUCGGAGGGCCCCGUAGACACGGCUGAGCCCUGAACAGGAGCCUCAGAGGGGCCCAUGUGCCCGGCUAAGCUCUGAACCAGCCGACUGCAAGCUGCGGACAAUGAUGAAAACGCGCUGUGGCCAGCCUGGGCUCACCCUUCAGCCAGCACCGUGGGAGGCCGAUGCGGGAGGGUCCGUUGAGGCCAGAAGUUCAAGACCAGCCUGGGCAACGUAGUGACACCUCAUCUCUAUAAAGAAUCUUUAAAUGAGGCCCUGUGUGGUGGCGCACGCCUGUCAUCCCAGCACUUUGGUAGGCCGAGGUGGGCGGAUCACCUGAGGUCAGGAGUUCGAGACCAGCCUGGCCAACAUGGAGGAACCCCGUUUCUACUAAAAAUAUGAAAAUUAACUGGGCGUGGUGGCACAUGCCUGUAAUCCUAGUUACUCAGGAGGCUGAGGCAGAAGAAUCACUUGAACCCAGGAGGUAGGGGUUGCAGUGAGUCGAGAUCACGCCACUGCACUCCAGCCUGGGCAACAGAGCAAGACCCUGUCUCAAAAAAAAAAAAAAAAAAAAAAAAAAUGCCGGGCGCAGUGACUCACGCCUGUAAUCCCAGCACUUUUGGAGGCC
rnacentral:lncRNA from 10 species